UAGGUGGAUAGGACCCUUCGAGGUGAAGUC
rnacentral:piRNA from 1 species